rnacentral:lncRNA from 1 species
AAAAAAUAAAAAAUCAAAAAAAAAAUAAUAGGGAGGAAAAAAGGGGGAUAAUGACUUGAUCUCUUUCAUGGGUUAUUUUAAAGGUGAAGUAAUUGAGUGUUUUAAGACCUGGAGCAGUGCCUGGCACAUGGAAACACUGUUUGUUACACAAAAAGAGCUUGGACUUUGAGGUCGGAGAGACCUGGCUUUCAGUUCUGACUCUGCCGCAUAAUAACUGCAUGACCUUGAGCAGGUACUGGUCUCAGUUUACUCAUCUGUGAAAUGGAGAUAAUAACACCCGUUUGAAAGGGCUGAUGUGGGAGUUGGUGCGACAAUAUAUGUGACUCCCUGAACAUGCCUGAUAUCUCAUGAGUGCUUAGAAGUGUUAGCCUCUACUAACAGGAAGGCGUCAACCAUCUCUAGAGAUACUUCAGAGGAUAGGGAAGGUGGCCUUGUGUCAGGGAUGGAGAGAUGAAGUGGUUGUAUCAGAGGGAAGUCAGAAUUAAUGCCAUGUACAGCCCUUCAACCCAGACUAUUUUAGCAGCCAGAGCUGCCAAAGGAAACAAAAAUAUGGUAGAGUCUAAUUUCAAUCCAUUGCUUGAAGGCAUUGAUUAAAUCAGAUAUGGGAUGGUGAAAUUUUGUAAAGACAUCAGGCACCUGUGAUAAAAUGAGAUGGUAAAAUUAGGGAGUCUGGACUUUGGCAUUGGCCAGCCUGGGUUUGGUUUCAGCUGCGCCAUUUGUUGGAGAUGUGGCCCUGGGCCCAUAUUGUUGGUGGGCUUCUCCCGGCAGCUGACCCUGAGUCUUAGACUUGAGUUGUGCUCACCUAUUUGGAUGCAGAUUUAUUGGGAUGCCCUUGAUUAUCUUGGGGAAGAGAGUCAGGAAGCCAGUACAAGGCGUGUUCAUGGCAGGCGAUGGCUGUGGCUGCCAGGAGCCCAGUUCUGCUUGGACCUUUGGAUGACCACACAGACCUGCCUCAGCCUUGUCCCACCCAUGGGGCGAAGAAGCUCAAAUAUUACCCGCUGACCACCCCCUCUCUUUAUUGGGGGGUUGCUCAAAUAAAGUGCCAGGGAGCAUCAAUGCCUUGGCACUUCCGUACUUGCCCCACUCAUGGGUCUAGGUGCUUCUGGGAACAGAGAAAGCCCUGGGGCAGAGUCUAGGCUCUAGGAAAAAGCUAAACAUGCUAACUUAUGAGUGAGGAGAGGGCCCUAGUCAGUUCUGGCUGCUGUCACAAAGCACCAUAGACUGGGUGGCUUCUAAACCACAGAACUUUGUUUCUCACAGGUCUUGAGGCUGGAAGCCUGAGAUCAGGGGUCAGUGCUGUCAGGAUCUGGCGAGGGCCCUCUUCUUGCUUGUCAGCUUCUUGUAGCCUCACGUGGUAGAAAGGGGCCCAGAGAGGAAUUCCCGUCGUGGGUUAAGAACCCAACUAGUAUCCAUGAAGAUGCGGGUUCCAUCCCUGGCCUUGCUCGGUGGGUUAAGGAUCCGGUGUUGCUGUGAGCUGUGGUGUAGGCCACAGACAUGGCUCAGGUCUUGCAUUGCUAUGGCUGUGGCAUAGGCCGGCACCUGCAGCUCCGAUUGGACCCCUAGCCUGGGAACUUCCAUAUGCCUCAGGUUUGGCCCUAAAAAGACAGGAAAAAGAGAGAGAGAGAGAAAAAAUGCAAAGAAAGAGGCAUAGAGAACUCUCUGGGAUCCCUUUUAUAAGGCCAGUAAUCCCACUGAGUGGGCUUAACCCUCAUGACCUGCUCACCUCCCAAAGGUCCCACCUGCUAAUAUCAUCCCCUUGGAAGCUAGGAGUUCAACCUAUGAGUUUGGAGGGAACACAAAUAUUCAGUCAUUCGCAGAGAGGCGAGGAUGGGCCCUAACAGCACACGCGAAGACAACGCGAGCUCCCUAAGCCUCGCUUCUUCCUUGAGAAAGUGGGCAUGAUAAUAACAUACACCUCGUAGCUCUUUGUGGGGAUUAAGGAUGAUCGUGAACAUACAAUGUUCGGCUGAUGCUGCUUGGAAAGCCUGAUGUAAUUAGCUUUCCUUGUUCUAAAAGAGAAAUGUAUGAACAAGGAGACUGUGCCUUGCAGAGGGUAGUGCCCAUAGAUUCCAUGAAGAAAUAAAUUGUUAGAGGGAAUUUGUGUCCAUUUAAUUUGCUUGGAGAAGUGCCCAUAAUAGAAUCUUUUACACCUGGUCACUUAAAAGAAUUAUGUGUGGCUGACACACUGAAGUCACAUUUAUCCACUCGGACAGAAGGUUCAUCUUGAGUAUAGAGCCUAUAAUUUACUUACAGGUGUAUAUGGUGGGAUAACUCAGGUUAAUGUCCGUGAACAGAGACCAACAAUUAGCAAGUUAAUUAGGGUCCUGAUUUUAGUAGCGAAGGGUAAUCAUUUAUUAGCUUAGGUCAGACCCUGGGCCUUCCCGUGGCGUGACUUUCUAUGAAAAUAUUGACUGAGAGGGACUCCCUGUAACUUCCCUAGUACAGUUCACAUGCUUGGGAAACUCAUUAGCUGUUGCAGAGAUAGGAUGACAGUAAGUUUAGGAUGCCUGGCUUCAGCUGGCUUGUUUUAAGUCGAUGGCCGACAUCGAAAUAGAAUUCUAACACAACGAUGGGAGCAUCCGUUCUUCCACACCCCACCCAUUGCUGUUCAAGUGCUGCUCUGCUGGUGUCUGACGGCUGGGUGCUGGCACUUGCUUUUUUCCAGCCAAUAUCUCAGAUAAAUUAACAUUAUUAUUUCAUAUGAGGCAUUUCUUGAAAAAGCAUAUAUAAAGAGUACUCUUGUGCUUCGGGGCUAAAAAAGCCUCAGGAAGUGGUAAGCUUUUCUCUUUCUUGUUUUUCACAGUGACAGCCAUUGACCCGUACUGGGGAUUCUGUCUAAGGGGCUGGAGAUUAUAAAUCCAAUUUGGAGAAGGGGAGAGGGCAUGGACGGAAGGGGCAUCUUGCGUGGAUGAAGGUAUGAGUGGCAGGCAGCUCCUCUUUUUUUUUUUUUUUUUUUGCUAAUAAAAGGCAUGGGGUUCAUUGUACUCAUUUUGUCUUCUUACCCGACCCUUCUUCUGGCACUGGCACCUACUGAGCUUGGUUGGAGAGUUCCUUAGAAUGUCCCUUGACUAAUAAGGUGGAGGCUUGGCCAUGCCUCAUAAGCUAUAGAAGGGAUGAUGGACAAGGCUUUUAAAAUCUGCCCGGCUCCUGUUUCCUAUGCCAUCCGUCAUGAAUUGUGAGCGAGUUGUUUCUGUUUGUAAAAUAGGAGCAGAGAUGAGGUCGUGACAGACGCAGCUUUGGUAAAAGGCGCUUCAGCUUUCUGAUGGACGAGAACAUCUCGUGGCUUCUCUUUGCUGGGGGCAGAUUCCUUCAACACUUUUUUUUUUUUCCUCUCCCCAUUUUGCUUUAAGCUGAAUCCGCCAAAGGAAAUGCCUGCGAUUCAAAGUCCAAGUUAACAACAAAUGAAUGCUUUUAAGUGGCAUGUCAUUGUGGGUUUUUUUCUUCAGAUUAUUUGGGGAAACUUAAUUUUAGUUAACUAGAAGAGAACUAAAUGGAGGAAAUAGCCCACAAAUAAUGUUCCCUGACCCAGGUCCCAGGAUUCUAGUGCAUGUUGGUGCCCACUUUAAUGAACUGUUUAUAUUUGACAAGCACUCUUGUGUUGGAGGCAAAAUAAGUGCCUGUUCCCCCCAAAUGUCCACAUCCUAAUCGCGCAGAGUCUGUGAAUGUUAUUUGACAUGACAAGAGGCACUUUGCAGAUAUGAUUAAGGGCACAGACCUGGAGGUGGAGAGGUCUUCUUUGGAUUAUCUGAGUGGAUCCAACCUACUCACCUGAGUCCUUAAAAUUGGAGGACUUUUCCUGGCUGUGGUGAGAAAGAAAGAAAGAAUGGCCCGAGAAGGAUCUGAUGCCCCACCACUGGUCCUGAGAUACAGGGGCUGUGUGCCAGGAGCUGAGUUCUGCCAACAGCCCCUCUCAGUGAGAGAAUGACCUUCUCUGAGAGCCUCCAGAAAGGAGGCUAACUCUGCCAAUGUUUGAUUUUAGCCUGGUGAGACCCGAAUUCUGACCAACAGAACUGUAAGGUAAUGCAGGUGCAUCGCAUUAAACCACAGAGUUUGAGGUUCUUUGUUAUAGCAGCAACAGCAAACUAAUACAUCUCAGUUUCUCUGGUGUAGAGUUUUCCUAAUAACGAGGAACCAAUCAGGAAGGGCUGAAUCAUUUCCUUUCAAAAUCAAAAGCUCUGGCUCCAGUGUUUCAGUGGAUUCCAGCUUGUGGUCCUGCGUUGCUUGGAUGUCGGAAGACUUGGCGAUCAACAGCUAAGAGGAUGUGAAUGAAUAUUAAUGGAGCAUCCUCCAAGUUCCAGGGAUACUGAUUAUCCUGCUUUACCGUUAAUCCUACUAACCUGUGAGGUCAAUCAUAUCAUAUUUUACAGACCAGAAACUGUUUCUGAGAGGUUAACAGCAACUUUUCUGAGCUUAAGGAAGUAGCAAGUGACGGCGAAGUUGUGAACCUCCAGAAAAUACGUUCUUUCUAUUUUCCGCCCUAUGCUUGCCUCCUUCUUAGCAAGCCUCGGGAGUCAGGAAAUCAAGUGUCGUGGCUGAGUCUCCCAUCACAGUAAACAAGAGAAUAGAAUCACUUGUUUCUUUGGUUGAGAAAACAUUGCUGAAGAUGAGGGACAUUGCCCCUGACCUUUUUUUUUAAACCCACAGUGGGACAGGGUCGGGGGGGGGUGUCCCCAGACAGACUGGCUUAUCUCUUAGUCUCUACUCAAGUUCUCAUCUGUGUACUUGACUUUGCUCAUUGCUCAUCAGCAAGGCCUGUGGCUCACAGAAAAUGCACCCGGUUUCUUAGCCAGGGAAUCAGGUUGAUAUUUAAGACGAAAGAGGAUUGCAAAAAGAAAAGACUGUUUAUUUUAAAGGGUCACUUGGGACUGGCUUUGCAGAUCCUACCGCUUUAAGCCAGAUUUUGGUUCGAUUGCUGGCAGUGCUGGUUGGAUUAGACGUGUGCAACAUGCUCCUGAGACCCCAAGAUCCUCUGCCAGCCAUUAAACGGUCCUGCAGGUCGUAGGGGGGAACGCUGACUAUCAGCUCACGAAGCCCAGCCCCACCCCUGUGCUGGGAGACGGCUUCCUUACACCCAGCCUCUAGACAGGAUUUGUUUAAUGGGUGGUUUUAAAGCACUUCCUCUGCCGCAUUAAGUCACGAGGGUCAAAAAUACUACCUGCUUCCAGGAGCAUCUAGUUAGAGGGAGGGAGGGGGCUGUUUAAAAAAGACCAAUAGGGAGUUCCUGUUGUGGUGCAGUGGAAACGAAUUCAACUAGGAACCAUGAGGUUGUGGGUUCGAUCCCUGGCCUCGCUUAGUGGGUUAAGGAUCCAGCGUUGCUGUGAGCCGUGGUGGAGGUCGCAGAUUCAGCUUGGAUCUGGCGUUGCUGUGGCUCUGGUGUAGGCCGGUGGCAACAGCUCCCAAUAGACCCCUAGCCUGGGGACCUCCAUAUGCCAUGGGUGUGGCCCUAAAAAGACAAAAAAAAAGGAACCAACAGGUUUCAGUAAACAGAUAGUCCUGUGCUCCACAGGUGAGGAGGAGACUCGAAGGUCACCCAGCGCAUGCCCAGGUUUGGGGGAGGCAGGCAAAGUCAGUGGCCUGUGUUUGCUCAUGGGUUGGUCCAGGAGGAUCCCUACAGCAGCACCCUGCGAGGCUUGAGAAUCAGGUCCUUAGACCCUGAGGGCUACAGCUCAGUGUGUGCGCCUGGCUAGACCCCUCUGGGGGGUGAAACUGGCACCUCUGAUCCCCCACCGCCACCCCAGGAUGUCGAAUGCCAGCUUAGACCAUGAGCUCUUCUGAAUUGCCUUCUCAGCAGCUGGAGCAUGCUUCUAGAAACUUCUCUUCUGUCAGCUGCUGGAAAUCUGUCCUAGAUGCUCCUUCCCCUAGCUGCUGGCUGGGGCCAGUGCCCAACCUCUCUGUUUUCUGUUGGAUUGAUGUCUUUGUGUUAUUUCCCGCAGCUUGUAAGUUGCUCUUGAGACUCCAAGCUCUCCUCUCCUAUCCCAUUCUGCCUCUGGGUCAGCUUCUGUCCCCCCAUCCUCCCAUCCCAGGCUUCUCGCUGCCUCGCUGGUGGCUCAGUACCAUUCAAGUCCCAGAGCGUCUCAUUUGGGAGUUGGAACAGCAACAGAUCGGACCCUGGAUUCAGCCCUGUGGGGCCUCCUUGAUUUAUACCCAUCGGGUUUAUAACUCCCCUUCGAGGCUUUAACUUCGACCCUAGAGCCCGGCCAACACAAUGCCCAGCUCUGCAACUUGGCACAGAAACUGCAGCCUAGGAUAGAAGAAAAUCCUUACUGAGAU